UUUUUCUGCUCUGGUGGACUU
rnacentral:piRNA from 1 species